AUGGCCCUCAUUUCUCUCACUCAUGAAAAUUGUUUCCUUGUUCCCUCUUCAAUCAGUUUCUUCUCCAUCUCAACUAUGUUUCUGCGGUUUUUCUACAGAGAGGUACAAUGGCGAUUAUGUUACAGUUGUGGUGACCAUGAUGUUGAGAUCUUGAACUACGCGAGCUGGAAGAAUCUGAAAAUGGUGACCAAAAAGAGAAACAAAUGUUCCUCGCGGGCUAAAGGAGAAGGGACUGUAAUUCGAAAUGGAAAAAGAUACAGGGGCAAAGCGGUCAUGACGGAAGUGGAUUGGGUUGUUUCAUGUUGUUGUUUUUGUGAAUGA